UGGUGUGCUCGUCUGACAGACAGGGCAGCUUAGGGGAAUAAGUCUCUGCAGCGUUGUAGUGAAGAGAGAAUACGGGACAACUACGGGACCACAGCUCAGCCAAGACGGAUCACAGUUAUACCCAGAGGAAUAGAAGGUCGAUCUACCUGGAAUUCCUUCUCCUCUUGUUGUGAAGCAGGUUCACUGUGCCCUGGUCACCAACUUGUCUUGAGUCCAGUGAGAGAAAACACCUGUGCAUACAACAAGCUGCAUGAAGAGACUUUUUACUACUUACAGGCCCCCUUGCAGCUAAGUUGGCCAUAUGACUGACAGCAAGCCCUGGAAUGCAGCCAGAAGUGAUAGAAGCCUCUUUCACACCAUGCUCCUAAAAUAUUCCAAGAAAUUUUCCAAACCCACUCUCUUUAGUCCAUGCAUCUGGAAGUGAAAGUUUUAGAAAGGGUAAAGUCACUUAAUGGAAGGGGCCCAGAUCUAGCCCCUUGAAGCCAAGCUGUCCAACUAGAAAUUCUGCAUUAGUAUUUGUGGCCCCAGUAAAAAAACAAGUCCCACAAAGAUGUAGGAUCUCACUUUGCCUGCAUUAAUUGUCCUUUGCCCAGUUUCUCUUCUCUUGGAAGGCCGAGGCAGCUUCUGAUUUUGAUCACUUCAUGUCCAGAAUGUUGUCAUCUUCUUUUGACUGUAAAAAUGCAAUCCAUCUACAUGUGGAGCCUCACUCAGCCCAAUUUGCUCAUAACUUUCAAAUGAGAGAAAAAUUGUAAAUGAAAGUGACGCCAUUUCUUACUAUCUACCACCAAGGGGCAGGAUGGCAGAGGCCUCUUCUGGGACUGAUUGCAAGGAGUGAAAUGGACUAAUUUUAGAAUAAGCAACUCUACUAUGGAACUUCUGAAAAAAAAGAGCACUUUUUAAAUUGCAGCAAAAUAUUUUUUGAUAUAAAUUUGUGCCUGGCUUCUGCAGAAAACAGUAGACACAUAUAAGGUAUUGCUCCAAGAACAGACUGCAAAUGUGGACAAAGGAAAUGACUUAUAUAUAUCCACAAGGGACACGUUUUUAAGGCAGUUGUCAGAGGAGAAAGAGGAGAAGCAUGUGGAAGGAGGGCUUCCUGAUGACUAAAUUAUAUGUAUGUUUCUGCAUGUCUCAUUUCAUGGGAACUACCUCUACUUUCAAAUGAUCGUUUCUUCCCAACAUUUCAAUCUAUAUAUCAUUUCUCUUUGUAAUAAAAAGCAUGUUACUUUUCUAACUUUCGGCCUAAAUACUAAG